AGUGAACGCUGGCGGUAGGCCUAACACAUGCAAGUCGAACGGCAGCACAGUAAGAGCUUGCUCUUACGGGUGGCGAGUGGCGGACGGGUGAGGAAUACAUCGGAAUCUACUUUUUCGUGGGGGAUAACGUAGGGAAACUUACGCUAAUACCGCAUACGACCUACGGGUGAAAGCAGGGGAUCUUCGGACCUUGCGCGAUUGAAUGAGCCGAUGUCGGAUUAGCUAGUUGGCGGGGUAAAGGCCCACCAAGGCGACGAUCCGUAGCUGGUCUGAGAGGAUGAUCAGCCACACUGGAACUGAGACACGGUCCAGACUCCUACGGGAGGCAGCAGUGGGUAAUAUUGGACAGUGGGCGCAAGCCUGAUCCAGCCAUACCGCGUGGGUGAAGAAGGCCUUCGGGUUGUAAAGCCCUUUUGUUGGGAAAGAAAAGCAGCAGGUUAAUACCCCGCUGUUCUGACGGUACCCAAAGAAUAAGCACCGGCUAACUUCGU
rnacentral:rRNA from 1 species